rnacentral:rRNA from 1 species
AUUGAACGCUGGCGGCAUGCCUUACACAUGCAAGUCGAACGGUAACAGGUCUUCGGAUGCUGACGAGUGGCGAACGGGUGAGUAAUACAUCGGAACGUGCCUAGUAGUGGGGGAUAACUACUCGAAAGAGUGGCUAAUACCGCAUGAGAUCUACGGAUGAAAGCAGGGGAUCGCAAGACCUUGUGCUACUAGAGCGGCCGAUGGCAGAUUAGGUAGUUGGUGGGAUAAAAGCUUACCAAGCCGACGAUCUGUAGCUGGUCUGAGAGGACGAUCAGCCACACUGGGACUGAGACACGGCCCAGACUCCUACGGGAGGCAGCAGUGGGGAAUUUUGGACAAUGGGCGCAAGCCUGAUCCAGCAAUGCCGCGUGCAGGAUGAGGGCCUUCGGGUUGUAAACUGCUUUUGUACGGAACGAAAAGCCCUGGGUUAAUACCCUGGGGUCAUGACGGUACCGUAAGAAUAAGCACCGGCUAACUACGUGCCAGCAGCCGCCGCCGUAA